AUGACAAGCGUGACCAAAAAUCAGUUUGGUUUCAUGCCUGGGAGGUCGACCAUGGAAGCCAUUUUCUUGGUACGACAACUUAUGGAGAGAUAUAGGGAGCAUAAGAAGGACUUGCAUAUGGUGUUCAUUGACUUGGAGAAGGCCUAUGAUAAGAUACCGCGGAAUGUCAUGUGGUGGGCCUUGGAGAAACACAAAGUCCCAGCAAAGUACAUUACCCUCAUCAAGGACAUGUACAAUAAUGUUGUGACAAGUGUUCGAACAAGUGAUGUCGACACCGAUGACUUCCCGAUUAAGAUAGGACUGCAUCAGGGGUCAACUUUGAGCCCUUAUCUUUUUGCAUUGGUGAUGGAUGAGGUCACAAGGGGUAUACAAGGAGAUAUCCCAUGGUGUAUGCUCUUUGCGGAUGAUGUGGUGCUAGUUGACGAUAGUCGGACGGGGGUAAAUAGGAAGUUAGAGUUAUGGAGACAAACCUUGGAAUCGAAAGGGUUUAGGCUUAGUAGAACUAAAACCGAGUACAUGAUGUGCGGUUUCAGUACUACUAGCUGUGAGGAGGAGGAGGUUAGCCUCGAUGGCCAGGUGGUACCUCGGAAGGACACCUUUCGGUAUUUGGGGUCAAUGUUGAAGGAGGAUGGGGGUAUUGAUGAAGAUGUGAACCAUCGAAUCAAAGCCGGAUGGAUGAAGUGGCGCCAAGCUUCUGGCAUUCUCUGUGACAAGAGAGUGCCACAAAAGCUAAAAGGCAAGUUCUACAGGACGGCGGUUCGACCCGCAAUGUUGUAUGGCGCGGAGUGUUGGCCGACUAAAAGGCGACAUGUUCAAUAG
rnacentral:rRNA from 1 species